rnacentral:rRNA from 1 species
CUUGGAUCGUACAUACUACAUGGAUAACUGUAGUAAUUCUAGAGCUAAUACAUGCCACUAAGCCCUGACCCGCAAGGGGACGGGUGGAUUUAUUAGAACAGAACCAACCGGUUGUGGCUUCGGUCAUGGCCGUUGUACUCUGUGAUGACUCUGGAUAACUUUACUGAUCGCAGUCGGCCUUGUGUCGGCGACGGAUCUUUCAAAUGUCUGCCCUAUCAAUUGUCGAUGGUAGGUGACCUGCCUACCAUGGUGAUAACGGGUAACGGGGAAUCAGGGUUCGAUUCCGGAGAGGGAGCCUGAGAAACGGCUACCACUUCUAAGGAAGGCAGCAGGCACGCAAAUUACCCAAUCCCGGCACGGGGAGGUAGUGACGAUAAAUACGGAUACGGGACUCAAAAGAGGCUCCGUAAUUCGAAUGAGUACAAUUUAAAUCCUUUAACGAGGACCAACUGGAGGGCAAGUCUGGUGCCAGCAGCCGCGGUAACUCCAGCUCCAGAAGCGUAUAUUAAAGUUGUUGCAGUUAAAAAGCUCGUAGUUGGAUCUGGGUCGCAUGGCUACGCGCCGUUGCUUGUGAUCUCGGUUUGGUUACGACCGGAUUGAGUUCAUGAGUCGGUGUAGUGGUUGUGCAGCCUUUCUGCCGUGUCUGUUUUACAGGUGCUGGCGGAUUGUUGGGUUCGCCCUUCAGUCUGUCGGCAUGCUUCCGAAUGCCUUUAAACGGGUGUUGGGGGCGGACGGCACGUUUACUUUGA